CAGUCGCGCGGUAAUACGUAGGUGGCAAGCGUUGUCCGGAAUUAUUGGGCGUAAAGGGCUCGCAGGCGGUUUCUUAAGUCUGAUGUGAAAGCCCCCGGCUCAACCGGGGAGGGUCAUUGGAAACUGGGAAACUUGAGUGCAGAAGAGGAGAGUGGAAUUCCACGUGUAGCGGUGAAAUGCGUAGAGAUGUGGAGGAACACCAGCGGCGAAGGCGACUCUCUGGUCUGUAACUGACGCUGAGGAGCGAAAGCGUGGGGAGCGAACAGGAUUAGAUACCCCGGUAGUCCCUGUCUCUUAUACA
rnacentral:rRNA from 1 species